rnacentral:rRNA from 1 species
UAAGGAAUAUUGCUCAAUGGGAGAAAUCCUGAAGCAGCAACGCCGCGUGGAGGAUGAAGGGUCUAUGACUUGUAAACUCCUGUAAAGAAGGAAAAAAUUCCCAUUUGAUGGGAGAUUAUGGUACUUCUGGAGUAAGCCCCGGCUAACUACGUGCCAGCAGCCGCGGUAAUACGUAGGGGGCAAGCGUUGUCCGGAUUUACUGGGUGUAAAGGGUGCUCAGGCGGAUUUGUAAGUCAGAGGUGAAAUCUUACAGCUUAACUGUGAAACUGCCUUUGAUACUGCAAGAAUAGAGUAUGGAAGAGAGUGAUGGAAUAUCUGGUGUAGCAGUGAAAUGCGUAGAUAUCAGAUAGAACACCAAUGGCGAAGGCAGUCACUUGGUCCAUUACUGACGCUAAAGCACGAAAGCGUGGGUAGCAAACA